AUGUAUAUGUAAUGUAAUUAUAUGAUUAUAUAGCGUGGCAUUGCGAAGCCUUGGGACGGCACCGCUGCUGAGAAUAUGUUUCUGUGUAACGAUCAAUCGCACAACAUCAAUCGUACAAGUUCUAAAAACUAUUUAAAGAACCAAAUAUUAUGAUUAAUGAGUGGUCGAGUUGAUUGUCUUCCGUCUCUUUCGUAGGGCAUUGCUGUCUCGCUCGGACGAUUAUCAACUAACCACAAUACUAUAUCUAUGUGUAAUUUAUUGAAUGAGGAUUAUUUCAAUGUGGAUGCUAAGUUAUAAUUUUAAUAUGUAAUUGUAUUAAAUAAGUCACCCGUUUUAAUGUAUAGAUAAUGGAGAUUCCUUUUAUAGAUCUCUCAUGGAUCAAAAAUUAAUUGAUAAUUUCAUAUUUUCAUCAAUUUUGAAAUGACACAGCGUUCAUUUAGAAUAAUUUAGAUGUUUCAGUACUUUUUUCUACUGAAUUUUGAAGGUAGAUUCGUGGAUGUCGUGUCGGUUCAAAAUAAUAAGAUAUUAUUUUAUAUUUCCAAAAUGAAACAUUGUAAUUUACACUUUGACAUAAUGCAAUAUAUUAAUUUAUCAAUGUCACUCACUGUUAUUUUUUAUAUCUCACUAAAAGGAAAAAUGGCGAUUAAUAAAUGGCAUAUAAUAAUAUAGUGUUGUCUAAAAUAUCCAUUAAAAAUCCUAUUAAGUAUAUUACUUAAAUAUUUACUGACUUCAUGAUGGUCUAAAAGGGACUCUAACGCAUUCGUGUAAAGUUUAUAAUCCUUCAACAUUUUUAUCGGCCAAUGUGACAUAAUUUCUAAGGA